AUAUAGUGGGGUCGAUCGACGAUCAGGAAGGUCGAUGGCCUAGGAAGGCCGACUCCAUUGCACUUGGGAGGGGGGUCUACGUAGCAUCUCCCACUGAGGAGAGUGCACGUCAUAAUUUGUGGCAGCGGAGGAUCGUGUUCGUGCGGCCUCCA
rnacentral:snRNA from 1 species